rnacentral:rRNA from 1 species
AAAUAGAUACCCGGGUAGUCCACGCCGUAAACGAUGAGUGCUAGGUGUUAGGGGGUCCAACCCUUAGUGCCGAAGUUAACACAUUAAGCACUCCGCCUGGGGAGUACGGUCGCAAGACUGAAACUCAAAGGAAUUGACGGGGGCCCGCACAAGCGGUGGGGCAUGUGGUUUAAUUCGAAGCAACGCGAAGAACCUUACCAGGGCUUGACAUCCCUCUGACCGUUCUAGAGAUAGAGCUUCCCUUCGGGGCAGAGGUGACAGGUGGUGCAUGGUUGUCGUCAGCUCGUGUCGUGAGAUGUUGGGUUAAGUCCCGCAACGAGCGCAACCCUUGUCCUUAGUUGCCAGCAUUCAGUUGGGCACUCUAGGGAGACUGCCGGUGACAAACCGGAGGAAGGUGGGGAUGACGUCAAAUCAUCAUGCCCCUUAUGUCCUGGGCUACACACGUGCUACAAUGGCUGGUACAAAGGGUAGCGGAGCAGUGAUGUGGAGCCAAUCCCAAAAAGCCAGUCACAGUUCGGAUUGUAGGCUGCAACUCGCCUACG